rnacentral:misc_RNA from 1 species
AGGCAUUCUCGAGGGUAGGGUUUUCGACCCACGCUUUAGUAUUCUGCACGAAUUCGUCGUUAUAAAGUGGCGUUCCCUGUGUUCUGAUGGAUGCCUGAUUCCAAACCAGCGCAUAUUCAUAUGGAUUUUCCAUUACCUCCAUGUUCAGGAUCGGCUUUGCCAAAGAGUAUUGCGUAUUUAAGUCGAUGCGCAUCUUUCCCUUUUGUGCAUCCUUGGUUUCAAUCAAAAUAACACCAAAGGCGGCCCUUCCUCCAUAAAUCGCUGCUGCGGAAGCAUCCUUCAAGACACUGACACUUUUGAUGUCC